rnacentral:misc_RNA from 1 species
UACGGAGGGUGAAAGCGUUAAUCGGAAUUCCUGGGCGUAAAGCGCGCGUAGGUGGCUUGAUAAGCCGGUUGUGAAAGCCCCGGGCUCAACCUGUGCACGGCAUCCGGAACUGUCAAGCUAGAGUGCAGGAGAGGAAGGUAGAAUUCCCGGUGUAGCGGUGAAAUGCGUAGAGCUCGGGAGGAAUACCAGUGGCGAAGGCGGCCUUCUGGACUGACACUGACGCUGAGGUGCGAAAGCGUGGGUAGCAAACAGG